rnacentral:rRNA from 1 species
UACGUAGGUGACGAGCGUUAUCCGGAAUGAUUGGGCGUAAAGCGUCCGCAGGUGGCUAUGUAAGUCUGCUGUUAAAGAGUGAGGCUCAACCUCAUAAAAGCAGUGGAAACUACAUGGCUAGAGUGCGUUCGGGGCAGAGGGAAUUCCUGGUGUAGCGGUGGAAUGCGCAGAUAUCAGGAGGAACACCAAUAGCGAAGGCAGCUCGCUGGGACGAAAACUGACGCUAAGGCGCGAAAAGCGUGGGGAGCAAACAGG